rfam:Clostridium cellulolyticum H10, complete genome.
UUGCCAGUGUAAGAAUGGCACGGGUAAUUACCAAGAAGCCCGGUAGCCAAUCCCGGUGCAUACUAGUAAUGCUAUGUGCUGAACGGGAGGAUAAAGUACUUGUCUAAACAACAGGGCGAGCGAAAAUGCAGACCGUAACAAAA